rnacentral:rRNA from 1 species
AUUGAACGCUGGCGGCAUGCCUUACACAUGCAAGUCGAACGGUAACAGGUCUUCGGAUGCUGACGAGUGGCGAACGGUGAGUAAUACAUCGGAACGUGCCUAGUAGUGGGGGAUAACUACUCGAAAGAGUGGCUAAUACCGCAUGAGAUCUACGGAUGAAAGCAGGGGAUCGCAAGACCUUGUGCUACUAGAGCGGCCGAUGGCAGAUUAGGUAGUUGGUGGGAUAAAAGCUUACCAAGCCGACGAUCUGUAGCUUGUCUGAGAGGACGAUCAGCCACACUGGGACUGAGACACGGCCCAGACUCCUACGGGAGGCAGCAGUGGGGAAUUUUGGACAAUGGGCGCAAGCCUGAUCCAGCAAUGCCGCGUGCAGGAUGAAGGCCUUCGGGUUGUAAACUGCUUUUGUACGGAACGAAAAGCCCCGGGUUAAUACCCUGGGGUCAUGACGGUACCGUAAGAAUAAGCACCGGCUAACUACGUGCCAGCAGCCGCCGUAA